GUGAACGCUGGCGGUAGGCCUAACACAUGCAAGUCGAACGGCAGCACAGUAAGAGCUUGCUCUUACGGGUGGCGAGUGGCGGACGGGUGAGGAAUACAUCGGAAUCUACUUUUUCGUGGGGGAUAACGUAGGGAAACUUACGCUAAUACCGCAUACGACCUACGGGUGAAAGCAGGGGAUCUUCGGACCUUGCGCGAUUGAAUGAGCCGAUGUCGGAUUAGCUAGUUUGCGGGGUAGAGGCCCACCAAGGCGACGAUCCGUAGCUGGUCUGAGAGGAUGAUCAGCCACACUGGAACUGAGACACGGUCCAGACUCCUACGGGAGGCAGCAGUGGGGAAUAUUGGACAAUGGGCGCAAGCCUGAUCCAGCCAUACCGCGUGGGUGAAGAAGGCCUUCGGGUUGUAAAGCCCUUUUGUUGGGAAAGAAAAGCAGCAGGUUAAUACCCCGCUGUUCUGACGGUACCCAAAGAAUAAGCACCGGCUAACUUCGUG
rnacentral:rRNA from 1 species